GAUGAACGCUGGCGGCGUGCCUAAUACAUGCAAGUCGAGCGAAUGGAUUAAGAGCUUGCUCUUAUGAAGUUAGCGGCGGACGGGUGAGUAACACGUGGGUAACCUGCCCAUAAGACUGGGAUAACUCCGGGAAACCGGGGCUAAUACCGGAUAAUAUUUUGAACUGCAUGGUUCAAAAUUGAAAGGCGGCUUCGGCUGUCACUUAUGGAUGGACCCGCGUCGCAUUAGCUAGUUGGUGAGGUAACGGCUCACCAAGGCAAUGAUGCGUAGCCGACCUGAGAGGGUGAUCGGCCACACUGGGACUGAGACACGGCCCAGACUCCUACGGGAGGCAGCAGUAGGGAAUCUUCCGCAAUGGACGAAAGUCUGACGGAGCAACGCCGCGUAAGUGAUGAAGGCUUUCGGGUCGUAAAACUCUGUUGUUAGGGAAGAACAAGUGCUAGUUGAAUAAGCUGGCACCUUGACGGUACCUAACCAGAAAGCCACGGCUAACUACGUGCCAGCCGCCGCGGUAA
rnacentral:rRNA from 1 species